GUUGUUCGCUGGAUAACUGUAUUUAUCGAUGUGAUGUAUAGAGACACCAACCUAAUGUUCCACCACUCCUCACUCAAUUAUCCAUCAAUGAAGCUAUUGCCACUCAGGGGCACAGGGGGUAAACCUUCCUUGAUAAUCCCAGUGUCUGAAUUGAGAGUAAGAUCUCACACACAAACAAAACAACAACACUACAUCACAGAUCAGAGUCCAUAUUGGACAGACGUUUAAGGGAGCCACUGACAAUUGAGUCCCCUCCUACCUGCAUAGCUCCUCCUUGGUUUCCGAUUAAUAGUCAUUGCAGAGCAUGGUGCAAAGUUGAAAGGUUUGGAAUUUCUCUUGAACGCUCCUGAUCAUGAAGAUCUCAUCAUAAGAGAAAUCGUACUGAGAUGAGAUUUAAUCUGUGUGUGUGUGUGUGUGUGUGUGUGUGUUUUAAAUAGACAAUUGAUAAAAGAAUGAAUUCUAAUGGGCUACAAAACAUUAAAGACAUGCAAGAGGAUGAUACAUAGAGAGCUGACGAGAUGUGGUUGCUUUAACCAUAGGUCAUAGCAAUAGAAUAGGAUGCAGAUUUAUCAAACAAAUGUUUUCCUGGCUCAAAGUCGACAUGUGAUAAUCAGAUGCGAAAUCCUAUAAACAAGACAAGAUACAGAGGAAAGAAAUUGUAUUAACCUUAUAAACUCAAACCUAAUUUUCAACACAGCCAACGAAAAGAAGCCAAUAGGUGCGUAAAUUUCAUUAUCCGCCACUAAGUAUAUAUUCAUAUAUUUUAAAAGAAGAAAUAUUCUCUAUAUAGGAGCUAACAAAUCAUUUCUAGGCCUACUCUUUAAAAAGCAUAAAAUGCCAAACAAUGGGGAUGUUCUUUGGCAAUACCUGACCUUCAAUUGCAAAAAUGAUGCCCGGACCUUCAGAUACUUUUCUUUCUUUCUUUCUGACCCAGUUAACCAGUGGCUGCAUCAAGCCUUUGUGGGAGUGUCUAAACUGUGGGAGGGAGGGCUGAGGAAGAUUUCUUUCACCUGAAGAAGAAUCAAAGGGGGUGAGUGAGGCAGCGACAGGACUCUUUAAAGGUUCCUACCACCACAAUCCUCUUACAAGAUCCCACUGGGCCAUGCAAGAUGCAAUGCACCCUGAGAUGUCAUGAGAGCAGAGGCUCCUCUCCAAACUUAGCUCAUCAUGGCCACCUCUUCUGUAAUUGGCCUCAAUUAAGUAAUGGUCAUCUGGCCUUAAUUAAGUAGAGGUCUUCUUUCCCAGUCUGUUGCUAUAUGGAAUUUUGUUUUAUUUUUAUUAAAUGUUUUAUUGCUUUGUGUUUGCCAUACUGGGCUCCUUGGUGAGGAAAGAUGGGAUAUAAAAUAAAUAAAUGAGACACUUGCAGAAUAUGAUUUGAUCUUAACAUCUUAAGCAAUUAGAACCAGUUAGGAUCUGGUAUCACUUGGGAGACAAUUGUGAGUCAUGGUCAGUUUCUUUCAGUCGAUUUCUCUGCAUCAGAGGUGAGGAACCUCUUCCCCAGGACUAAUAAGGUCAGUGAGUGCAGCUCCCCAUAUAAUAAGGGAACAGCAAAUAUCAUGAGUUGUCUCCACCAGUGAUUUUUCCUUGUAGUAUAAUGUAUAGAAAGUGGAGUACCCAAUUUCCACCAUGCCACCUUAACUACUACAGCUGUUCAUGCCACAUCCUACACCAUUUCAGAGGGUCUCUCAACUCUCAGGAGACACCAGAAACUGCAAUGGGUAGAGAAAAACAGGAAAAAUCACGUUUUGUGAGUGCGAGCAUAGCCACACUCUCUGUGUGCAUUAUUUAAAAAUCGAUUUAUAUGUAUUCCCACCAAGAUAUACAUAUAUAUUUAUCCCAUCUACAGUGGUGCCUCGCAAGACGAAAUAAAUCCAUUCCGCGAGUCUCUUUGUCUUGCGGUUUUUUCGUCUUGCGAAGCACGGCUAUUAGCGGCUUAGCGGCUAUUAACGGCUUAGCAGCUUUAAGAAAAAGGAAACAAACUCGCAAGAACUCGCAAGACGUUUCGUCUUGCGAAGGAAGCCCAUAGGGAAAUUCUUCUUGCAGAACGACUCAAAAAACGGAAAACUCUUUCGUUUUUCGUCUUGCGAGGCAUUCGUCUUGCGAGGUACCACUGUAUAAUAUGCUUGGGUGAAUAAUAAUCUUUAAUUAUUAUUAAUGUGAUAUUAUUUUAUAUGGUGCAACUCUCCAAAGGUGAAAAAGGUGUCAAAUCCUAUCAGCUGCCACAUUAAAUAAAUUGAAGGCUAGCACUCUACCCCGUACUGGCUCAUUGUCAGCUUUGCCAUUCAUUCUGGGCAAGGUUGCUUUAUUAACAAAGUCAAUUCCAAAUGUUUGUACACUUCUAAAAAUGAUUUUGGUCAAUCACCUGCUCUUUUUUUCCUAGGUCACUGUGCUUGCAUUAUCACAUUCAAUUAGAUUAGAGUGCAUGAUAAAUGGGCAGGGAACACAUUUCAUCAAGUUAACGUUAUAAUGCACGAUUGGCUCUUAGUCAAAAGUGCAACUUCUUUUAGUAUGAUAUGGCAGUUUAAGAAGAGCCAAGCUUGAUAGCAUAUUUUCAAGCAAAACAGGCGAUCAUGCUUAGGGCUUUCAGUAAUGGGCAACCUCUCCCACCAACCUUGGCUUGUGAUUUUGCUGCACUAACUGAGCUCUUUUCCUAAAAGGUUGGCAAGUAGCUUGGCUGUCUCCAAGCCCAGUUAGAAAACUCAGAACCUGUUGCACUUCUGAUGGCAGAUACCUUUGGGAGUGAAAUAGAUCUGAAUCCCUCCCCCAACCCUGAAAUCAUUUUUCCUCAAUGUUGGCCUCGAACCCAUGAACCUCAAAUUAAGAGUCUAAUGUUCUACCAACUGAGCUAUCCUGGCAGAGGCUCAGAGGGAGAUGGAAGCAGACUUGAAUGGACACUAAGCCAAAUUUGGCAGUACCCUGGACCCAUCUUGAUCCCAACCAAAUAUUGUGGUCAUAGUAAAGGUAAAGGGACUGCUGACCAUUAAGUCCAGUCGUGGCCGACUCUGGGGUUGCAGCGCUCAUCUCGCUUUAUUGGCCGAGGGAGCUGGCAUACAGCUUCUGGGUCAUGUGGCCAGCAUGACUAAGCUGCUUCUGGCGAACCAGAGCAGCACACGGAAAUGCCAUUUACCUUCCCGCUGGAGUGGUACCUAUUUAUCUACUUGCACUUUGACAUGCUUUCGAACUGCUAGGUUGGCAGGAGCAGGGACCGAGCAAUGGGAGCUCACCCCGUCGCGGGGAUUCGAACCGCCAACCUUCUGAUCUGCAAGUCCAAGGCUCUGUGGUUUAACCCACAGCGCCACCCGCAUCCCUUUUUCACCCGCGUCCCUUUUUGGUCAUAGUAGAUAAACUGUAAUAAGUUCUGCUAUGGAAAUAAUCAUCAUGAUGCCUCGGAGGUAAAGAAACACAAGCAGAGUUCUGCUCAUACUGUGGCAAUUUCCUACCUUCUUCCCGUUACUGCCACUUACAUGCAAGAGGUAUUAUCACAAUUCAAAGAUACAUUACAUCCAUUCAAAAGCUCUUGAGAAGGGUACAGUGCAGAGACGGUGAGAAGUACAGCCUGAGGAGAAGGCAUAAUAUGAGAAGCAGAUAAGGGAGGCCUGGAGAGCUGUAUUUGGCCCUCAAGCCUGAGGUUCACCAUCUCUGAUUUAGAUAAAUGAAUAGCAUUAAAUGUCUAUAUUUCCUAAAUUCUUCAGUGGAUUUGAACUUGAAGAAAAAAAUAUUCAACAUUUGGAUAUCUACUUUAAAAGAAAAUAGCAGUUAUUAUGGGACGACUAAUGCAUUUUUAUCUGGAUAUCAUCUUUCUAACUAGGAUUUUGUAGAGUUAAGAUUUCAUAAUGUCACUGUACUGUUUCCAGUCUAAGAAAACGCUAUGGACAGUAGGGGUUAUGCCAUGUAUUAUAAGGCUCUGAGUAAGCUGUUUUAUCUCUCCAUUUCAUUGGCACAAGAGUAAUGGACACAGAGAUGUCUUCAGAGGCUGAAAAGACCUUCUUUGACGUGAUUCAUAUUCCAGAGAGGAUUUGGAAGUGAGCUUUGGGAUAGGCACAUGUUGCCGAAGUAUAUCAAAAAGAAACUAGCUUUGAAGAGAACUCGUUGAGCAGUAAAAAGAUGUUUCCUUGUGAAAGGUCUUAUUCAUGGUGACAGAGCUGAUGUUUUACUUUAAGCUUAGCCCUUCAGAGACUUCCUAUGAUAAUGCAUACAAGUCUCUGCUGACAAUUUGAAUGUUGCUUAUCUCCCCUGUACCGUAUUAUACUUUACUUAAAACAGAAUCAUGUUCUACUAUGCUCUAAAGAGUACUACACUAGAUACACAGUGGAAUAUCCCAUGCUCUGAUGUUUGUAUUUUGUGCAGUGCGGGGCCCUGAUUGACUCCAGUUACGAAAGCUAAGGUUGCUGAAGAGGCCAGAGAACACCUUGGCUGUCUCUUACUGCAGACCCAGAUCAUCAAGCCUGAGCUUCCACAACCACCAUCCUCCAUAAACCAUCAUUGGCAGGAUUGGCAGCAACAGCAGUAGAUAUGUUCUAUGCUCAUAAUAAUAUUCUAUCCUCUUGGUAAUUAUGCUGAUAGAAAUGUGUGUUCCUUUAGUAAUGUUUUCUUUUUAAAUCUUUGACAUAAUAUUUUAGCUUCCUGUUAAUUAUGUUUCUUUGAAUGUAUGCUUUUUAUUUGACUUUCCUCUGUAUCUUUUUUGUGGGGUUGUUUUAUUUGAUGCUUAAAUGUAGGCUGUAAAUGGCUUUGAGAUAUUUGAGAUAUAAAGUGGUAUAGAAAUGAAAUCAAAAAUAACA
rnacentral:lncRNA from 1 species